rnacentral:rRNA from 1 species
UGGGGAAUCUUCCACAAUGGGCGAAAGCCUGAUGGAGCAACGCCGCGUGAGUGAUGAAGGCCUUCGGGUUGUAAAGCUCUGUUAUUCGGGACGAAAGAGCGCAUGGCUAAUAUCCAUGCGAAGUGACGGUACCGAAAGAGAAAGCCACGGCUAACUACGUGCCAGCAGCCGCGGUAAUACGUAGGUGGCAAGCGUUGUCCGGAAUUAUUGGGCGUAAAGCGCGCGCAGGCGGCCUUUUAAGUCCAUCUUAAAAGCGUGGGGCUCAACCCCAUGAGGGGAUGGAAACUGGGAGGCUGGAGUAUCGGAGAGGAAAGCGGAAUUCCUAGUGUAGCGGUGAAAUGCGUAGAGAUUAGGAAGAACACCAGUGGCGAAGGCGGCUUUCUGGACGACAACUGACGCUGAGGCGCGAAAGCGUGGGGAGCAAACAGGAUUAGAUACCCUGGUAGUCCACGCCGUAAACGAUGGAUACUAGGUGUAGGAGGUAUCGACC